rnacentral:rRNA from 1 species
UAGCUAAAUGCGGAAGAGAUAAGUGCUGAAAGCAUCUAAGCACGAAACUUGCCCCGAGAUGAGUUCUCCCUGACCCUUUAAGGGUCCUGAAGGAACGUUAAAGACUAUGACGUUGAUAGGUCGGGUGUGUAAGUGUAGCGAUACAUUGAGCUAACCGAUACUAAUGAACCGUGAGGCUUAACCUUACAACGCCGAAG